UUACUCCUCCUCUAGAUCCAGAUCGAAACGCGGAGCACUGUAGGGGACUGAGGGAUUUCCAUUGGGAUUUAGGGAAGCUGCCUUGAAGAAGGCAAGCUUGGGCCUGGCCUGGCUGACCCUGGUCUGAUUUGAGUGCUGUGGAUUUAGUGAAGUAAUUUUUCAUUGUAGCACCUGGUUACAAAAAAGAAAAAAGUAAAAAUAAUGACAGCAAUCCCCCCCCCCCCCCUCAGUCCUGCCAUAUCUGCUGCACUGUGGUCUUUUGAAUUUUUUCGUAAUUAAAAUGCAGCAAUAUACCAGAACUGGGGAAUUGGCCAACGCCCAUUUUUUUCCUAAACCACUUGAGUCAAGAGUGGACCCUUUCAAUGAAAGAUUCUGACUGGCUAAAUCCAGAUGCUAAAGGCUACAUCUGUUAAGCCAAGGUUCGACCGUUUUGUAGCAUUGCUUUGGUAUACUGUGUGCUUACUUUUGGUGCCCCUUAGAAAUGUAAUUUCUUUACUUUAUGUACUUUACUUUUUAUUUGCUUUUCCUCCUGGUCGUGCUCCAGUGUUCACGCUAAUCGUAUAUAUGGUUGAAUAGAAUCAAUGGCUAUCGUACACUCUUAUCGUAGUGUUUGAUGACCUUUCACCCCUGGGUCAUCAUUCACAUAAAACAAACUCCUGUCAUUUUUUUUUUUUUUUUUUUUUGUGGUGAGGGUAAAAUUCCAACUUGGGGAGUUGCCGGAAAAAGAUAACGGGGAGCAUCUGGAUUGGGCUUAUCUCUGCUGUCUAUCUUCUCACGCGAGUUUGUCAAAGGAAUGAAUAAAGCGAACGUAAGCGAAUGUAUUUUCAUUGCUUUCCCUCCCGGACUUCUCCCAAGUUUUUAUCCGUGACACAGCCCGGAUGUGAGCGGCAGGGGCUUGAUCCGUUUCGAGUUUUCAUUCCUUCAACUUCUGGCCUUAAUUACUGGAUUAGCCGUCUGACAUUUACACCAUCGCCUGACAUUUUAGCUGCAUUUCUUGAUAGGCGCAUAAUUGACAGUUCAUGUCCCGAUAUGAAACAUUUUCCUGUGAUCUGAUCUGUAAGUGAACCAGUGUUGGUGUGCACGGCUCAAUUGGCUCAUUUAGCCAGGGUAACUGGUGGGAACAAAAACCCACACACACACAAACACACCCCGCCCUUCAGAACCAGAAUAACCCACCCCUGACGGGACUGUGAAACAUGAUUUUCCUUUAAUUUCCUUUCCUUCACAAAUCUCUUUCUCUUUCUUUAUCAAAUGUUUCAUCAAAUAGUUUCUGAAUGAUCCAAAAUUAUUUAAUAAGUUGGACAACUUUUAAGUACACUACGUUCAGAGAAAAUCUAGUUCAUCCAGUGUACUCAACUAGCGUACUCAUUAGUAGGCAAGUAAGUUUAUUCAGACAUGGUCUUUCUCCUAAACUGGAUUAAAAACAAGACCAGCGUGCCGUGCGGCAUUCUUGGACCAGUGCUUGGUCAUCUCUGGUACAGAUCGGGUGUUAGUUAAUGUGUAGUCCUUACGGCUCCAUGAAUGUUUUCUCUUAUUACACCUCGGCCAUUCCACAACAGGUCUACGUCACUGGUUCCCAACCUCGGUCCUGGGGGACCAGUGUGCGUGUGCUCUUUUCAUUCCAACCACAGUUGCAGUCAUAGAAUUUUUAACAAGCUGUUACUUCUCAUGUUUAGAGGGAUUAUUUACCCUCUGAAGCCACAUUAUGUCAGAAAUAACUGUGCAUGCUGUGUAGGACAAAGUACCCUUUCUGACUAAUCAAAUUAAAGAUCGAGGUGACUCAAUGUUCUCCUGGGUUGCAGAGCAACAUGUGUUUAAGUCAAUAAUUUUUUCCUUAAACUUAUUUAGAGUGUAUGUUUGUGUCAGUGUCCACAAAUUAACCAAUAGGGCGCUGAAGGAUAUGUUUCCAUGUGUUAGCCUCGGCAUGCAAGGUGCUGCCAGAUAGGGGUUGAUGGCCUUCUGUUGAACAUCCCUUCUUACCAGGAAACAUAAGUAACUAUCAAAUGUGUUCCCAUUUGCAAAUAUUGCAUAAGGUGAGAGUGUUUUCACAAAAGCUGGAUGGUAGCCAGAGGAAUACUGGUGAGGUGGUAAAAACAGAGAGAGAUUGGAAUGUGUUUUCCUAAAAUGUUGUGUAUCUGUACUUGGAAACCACCCUUGUGUGAACUGGCUGCAUCCAACUUUGGUUUUUUUCUUUUUUCCUGGAGUUAAUUUUCAAAGUAUAACUGACUUCUCCCGAAGAAGCCUAACAUUCCAGUAGUGUAAAUGGCAAUGCUGGGAUUGUAACCUCUAGGGCAGAGGAUGGGCAACAAGGGCCUUAUCCGUUUAUGGUUUCCAUGCCAACUUCUGGCCUCAAUUACUUAAUCAACCCUAACAUUUACGUCUUCUACAUUUCCUGAUAAGCGCAUGAAUGACAGUCACAGACUGUUCUUGUGUCCCUAUAUGAAGCGAUUUACUGUGAUCUAAUCUACAAGUGAACCCGUGUUGGUGUUGUCGCCCAAUUAGCUCAUUUAACCAGGGUACUUGGUGGAAACAAAAAAAACCUACAUACACACCGGUACUCCUUGACCGGAAUUGGCCAUUCCUGGCCUGGGGGAAUAGUGCUUGUCUGUAUUCUACGAUGUCCAAAGCUGAAUCAUUUUGUGCUUCUCUGGAAAAAUUCACAUUUGGCCAACGCCUUGUAUACUCUUAGUGAUAUGGAAGUCAUAGCUGAGUCAUAUGACAAGAAGGCAAACAUAACCCAGCCCUGUCCCUGGAGAUCUACUAUCCUGCAGGUUUUCAUUUCAGCCCUGAUUUGAUUGAUAGGUCUGAUUCCACUGAUUACCAGCUCAAGAUCUCUCGCUGUUGAAUGAGGUGUGGCUUUGAUAAAGCUGGAGUGAAAACCUACAGGACGGUACAUCUCCAGGAACAUGGUUGAGCAGCCCUGAUAUAACCCCUUGAAUUUAAAAUUGGCAUAAAAAGGUACCCCCAGUACAACAAAACUAGUGUUUUCCCAUAAAAAGUUAAAUACAAAAACCACUCCUCCAGUGUAAAAGUGCAGAAGAAACAAAAAAUGUAAUUAAUACCUCUUACCCAAGCAUUAAACUGAUGCAGUCCCAAAAAUGGAAAACAGGCCCGAAACUUUAAAAUAGAAUGGCUGAAAAUAUAAAGCCAUUUCGGAACAGAACCCAAACUGGGACAUUUGCAAUUCCUGCUACCCUGUGUGUACCUAGGGAUGUACCCAGAAAUCUUUUUUGUGUAGGCAUUUGUAUAUACUGUAAAAUGCCGUGUUAAAAGACAAAACAUCAAGCUUCUUUUUAACGUUUUGAUCUCUUUGACCCCCUCAAAGUAUGUGAAAUCAUUCCCCUUCAUUUCAUUGUUACUAAUGAAACUGACUUUUGAAAUGAGCUGCCAACCGAAAAUUUCAUUUCUCUCUCUUGCUUUCUUUAGACAAUUGUGUCAUAAAAUAAUUUAUUAUACAAGCAUGUCAACAUUAGAUUUUUUAAAAUCUCCUGAACACAUUACAGAGGGUAAGCACAAACCUCUGCUUGAAGUUAAGUAACCUUAAUUACCAUUAAGCUAAAUCUUAAAAAAAAGGGAAAAUAAACAAACGCUUUAGUACUUCUCCGUGUUCACGGCGCUGAGAUGUGGCCUAACCCCCUAACCUCACCUUGCAUCUCUCCAGAUCAGGAAAGGUGAAAGUUCACCAGCCCCACCUACGCAUCUAGCGUCAGUUGCAGGGAAGAUUUCGUACCGUUUCGUAAGCCCCGCCCCCCCCCCCUCCUUGUCACAUGGUAUCGCGUGUCACCGCUGGGGAGCUAAGCCAAUGGGGCCGGGUGCUGGCGAAGGCGUCCGAGAGGAGCGGAGGCAGCUGUCCUGCCGAGAUACGGUACGAACGCUCAGGCUCCCGACCGAAAUAAACCCGGCCCGGCCCGCUCAGAGAGAGAGAGAGAGAGAGAGAGAGAGAGAGCGGGCUAAACAUAGCCAGCCAGCAUUUGCAUGCUGGAGCGCUGGCUUAAUAUGGCAGCUGCAUCUCGCCGACACGCCGAGCGUUUGCUGUUAAAACCGGUUUGAACCGCCACUGUGGCCAGCCCCAAAGACUCCCUGGAAAUCCACACUGAUUCCACAAAGAAUUGCUCAUUUAUGACAUUUCCCCACAAGCUAAUGUGCAAAAUAUCAAAAUAAAUACCUACAUUCCCUAGGAUGUUGCUUUCUUUAAUAAUAUCUUGUGGACACGGGUAACUUGAAUCCUUGCUUGUAAAUACUGGCUUGUAUUGGUCUCCAUGCGUCCUGGUGUCAUUCUGGUCGAAAUACAUAAUGCCUUGUGUAAUAGUUCUUAUAAAUGCAUUUAAAAAUGUUUUGGAAUGUA